rnacentral:rRNA from 1 species
UAGGGAAUCUUCGGCAAUGGACGAAAGUCUGACCGAGCAACGCCGCGUGAGUGAAGAAGGUUUUCGGAUCGUAAAACUCUGUUGUUAGAGAAGAACAAGGACGUUAGUAACUGAACGUCCCCUGACGGUAUCUAACCAGAAAGCCACGGCUAACUACGUGCCAGCAGCCGCGGUAAUACGUAGGUGGCAAGCGUUGUCCGGAUUUAUUGGGCGUAAAGCGAGCGCAGGCGGUUUCUUAAGUCUGAUGUGAAAGCCCCCGGCUCAACCGGGGAGGGUCAUUGGAAACUGGGAGACUUGAGUGCAGAAGAGGAGAGUGGAAUUCCAUGUGUAGCGGUGAAAUGCGUAGAUAUAUGGAGGAAAACCAGUGGCGAAGGCGGAUCUCUGGUCUGUAACUGACGCUGAGGCUCGAAAGCGUGGGGAGCAAACAGG